rnacentral:lncRNA from 1 species
GAGUGGUAUGGGUAUGUGCAUGUGUGCAUGUGUGGAUGUGUGCAUGUGUGCACUGUGCAAGUGUGCAUGUGUGCACACUUUGAUUGUCUGCUUGGGUGUAUGCAUGCUCUGAGUGUGUUCAUGCAUGAGUAUGUUUUCGAGCUUGCAUUUGUUUGGGUGUAUGCACUAUGUGCUUGUUUGUGCAAGCCUUGUGUUCAUGCAGGUGUGUCUGUGCAAUCCUGUGUGUGCAUGCAGGUGUGUCUGUGCAAGCCUUGUAUGCAUGCAGGUGUGUCUGUGCAAGCCUGUGUGUGCAUGCAGGUGUGUCUGUGCAAGCUUGUGUGUGCAUGCAGGUGUGUCUGUGCAAGCCUGUGUGUGCAUGCAGGUGUGUCUGUGCAAGCUUGUGUGUGCAUGCAGGUGUGUCUGUGCAAGCCUGUAUGUUCAUGCAGCACAUGGAUGCUGCUCUAACAGCAGUUCCCCAGGCUUCUUGUUCCUCCCUCACCCCAGCUCCACUUCCCACAGGAUGGUGACUGUGGCCUUCACAGGGCAGGGCAGCCACCAACUGGCCCUGGGAGGAGCCCUGCUUGGAUGUGUGUGUAUUGGGACUGGAAGCCUGGCACAAGUCAUCAGCCAAAUUAACUCAAGUUUCCUUUGGGGAAAAAUGUCAUCAGUUAUUUCAUUUGGGUCCAUUUUAGCAAAUUAACUUGUCUAGUAUUUCCUUCUUACUUGUUUUAUUGGGCAGAGGAGGGGAUGUGAAAACAGGAGGGGCUCAGUAGGGAGUAGAGCUCAACUGGGACAGUUGCUGGGAGAAGCUUUCCCUGGGGUUUGUGGCUGAGAUCGGCUGUGGAGGAAAAUGAAUCUGGGCUGAAGUGGGGUCUUGGCAGCAGAUGGGGGUUGACGGGACCUUAGGUCUGCUUGGGACCUGGGGUGGAGCCUACAUUGGAGAGGGGACCUCAGCAGUCAUGUGUUACCCACUUGGAGAGCAAUCCUAAGGUCCGAUGAGGCCUCCUGAAACACAUCAACUCCUGGCCAGAAGAAAUUAGUUCAGAAGAUUCCAUUGGGGCCACUCUAUGUGUCUGAUCUCACUGUAGUCACCGCCACAGGCACUGAAGGGCUCAG